CGCAGCCUGCUGCACUGGGAAAGCUGUAGUUCCAGAAGCACAAAGCUCUGCAGAGAAGCUGUUUGUGUGUUAUUUCGGCUACACGGUGUGAUCACGGGGGUUCUGAGGCUGCAGGGUUACCGCUUUACACACGUUUAAAGAAACUGUGGAACUAAAUCGGCUGCUUGGCAAACACAAGACCAAGCACAGGCGGUAGCUUCGUGCUGACAUUAUCUUUAUAACCGUUUUUUUUUGGGAAAAAAAGUUUGGGCCACUUUGGUACGGUUCAGUCAGUCGAGGGCUUCUCAGCUUGGACAAUAAAUCAGCACAAUUGUACAGAAUUCUUCAUCCUGAUCGAACACAAGGUGUCAGUUUAGUUCAACACUUCUGAGGUUUGUCUAAUAUUAGCAUUUCUGUAGUAACAGCUAACCUGGGAGGAAGAAGAAGGAGUAGAAGAAGGAGAAGAAAAUGAAGAAGGAAAAAGAAGAAGAAGGAGAAGGAGGAGACGGAGUAGAAAAAAGAAACAGAAACAGAAAAAAAGAGAAAAAAUAAAAAAGAAACAGAAAAAAGGAGAAGAAAUAGAAAAAAGAAAAAGAAAGAAGAAAAAGAAAAAGAAAAAAGAAAAAGAAGAAAAUAAAGAAAAAGAAAAAAGAAAAAGAAAAAAGAAGAAAAAAGAAAAAGAAAAGAAAGAAAAAAGAAAAAAGAAGCAAAUGAAAUAUAAAGGAAUGUAUACAGAAGAGUCUCCACCAUGAAGCCACAGGAUGUUGUGUUUCACUUUUUCUCAGUAACACCGAUGGCUCCUGAAACCCAAAGCGAGCGAACAUCAGCUGCUAAGUGCUAACACACACGAUAACGUUUGGGCGCCGCAGUCUCUCAGGACAUGAGGACAAUUUGUUCAGCACAUUUCAGGUUUUCUAAAACGUAAAACCAGCCCAAAAACUAGCUGAAACCUGUCAGCGAGCGAGGAGCGAACAGCAGGAAACUUUCCUCUACACUGUUGUGGCUGUGAUAGUGGCUCUGAAACUGUGUGUGUGUGUGUGUGUGUGUGUGUGUGUGUGUUAGAGUGUGUGUGUGGGUUAGAGUGUGUGUGCAUGAGUUAGUGUGUGUGUGUGAGUUGGAGUGUGUGUGUGUGUGUGCGUGAGUUGGAGUGUGUGUGUGUGUGUGUGCGUGAGUUGGAGUGUGUGUGUGUGUGUGUGUGUGUGUGUGUGUGUGCGCGUGAGUUGGAGUGUGUGUGUGUGUGUGUGUGUGUGCGCGUGAGUUGGAGUGUGUGUGUGUGUGUUGGCUGUAGAUAAUGCAGUAAACCAAUUACUUUGCAGUUUAAUAAAGAGCUGAAAACGUUUGUAAACUUCAGCAAAUAAAUAAAUAAAUAAAUAAAAACACUGACUUUCAAAAAAAAGGAUUUAAAACCUGUGAGUAUUAAAUGCGACCUGCACGUGGA